rnacentral:rRNA from 1 species
GACGAACGCUGGCGGCGUGCUUAACACAUGCAAGUCGAACGGAAAGGCUCUGCUUUUGUGGGGUGCUCGAGUGGCGAACGGGUGAGUAACACGUGAGUAACCUGCCCUUGACUUUGGGAUAACUUCAGGAAACUGGGGCUAAUACCGGAUAGGAGCUCCUGCUGCAUGGUGGGGGUUGGAAAGUUUCGGCGGUUGGGGAUGGACUCGCGGCUUAUCAGCUUGUUGGUGGGGUAGUGGCUUACCAAGGCUUUGACGGGUAGCCGGCCUGAGAGGGUGACCGGCCACAUGGGGACUGAGAUACGGCCCAGACUCCUACGGGAGGCAGCAGUGGGGAAUAUUGCACAAUGGGCGGAAGCCUGAUGCAGCAACGCCGCGUGCGGGAUGACGGCCUUCGGGUUGUAAACCGCUUUCGCCUGUGACGAAGCGUGAGUGACGGUAAUGGGUAAAGAAGCACCGGCUAACUACGUG